UCAGGCCAAGGCCAUCAAGAGGGAACAAAACUGUCUAGCACAUGAGCUUGGCUGCCAGAGCUGGACGGCAUGAGGACUCACUGAGAAUUGCGGACGUGCCCGAGGAGCUUCGUUCGCUGAUGCUAUCUGAAUGUACCAAGUGAUGUGUUUGGUCCUUUUUUUAGGCUAUCUUGAAUGAUUGCAAGUUUUAAUCAAGAAGUCCUCAAUAGGUGGACUGGCUCAAAAUGGAGAAGCACGCUGGUAGCUUUUUGGUUGAUUGUAUUAAGCAUUUAAUUUCAUAGCAAUUCAUACCAUCAAUAUCUUUGGGGUGCCUUGUACUCCUUCCGUAAAAUAAUACAAGAGCGUAGUGAUCUAAACACUCUUAUAUUAUAGUUUACAGAGGGAGUAAUAUUUUAGAAAAUUGUGCCUUUUUCGGCCU